UCCUUAAUGGCCGAGUGGUCUAAGCGAUAGACUUUUACUCUAGGACUCCAGGGGUCAGUGGUUUGAGCCUAGUUGAGGGUU
rnacentral:tRNA from 1 species